rnacentral:rRNA from 1 species
UACGUAGGGUGCAAGCGUUAAUCGGAAUUACUGGGCGUAAAGCGUGCGCAGGCGGUUUUGUAAGUCUGUCGUGAAAUCCCCGGGCUCAACCUGGGAAUGGCGAUGGAGACUGCAAGGCUAGAAUCUGGCAGAGGGGGGUAGAAUUCCACGUGUAGCAGUGAAAUGCGUAGAGAUGUGGAGGAACACCGAUGGCGAAGGCAGCCCCCUGGGUCAAGACUGACGCUCAUGCACGAAAGCGUGGGGAGCAAACAGG